rnacentral:rRNA from 1 species
UACGUAGGGGGCUAGCGUUGUCCGGAAUCAUUGGGCGUAAAGCGCGUGUAGGCGGUUCGGUAAGUCCGCUGUGAAAGUCGGGGGCUCAACCCUCGGAUGCCGGUGGAUACUGUCGAGCUUGAGUACGGAAGAGGCGAGUGGAAUUCCUGGUGUAGCGGUGAAAUGCGCAGAUAUCGGGAAGAACACCCGUGGCUAAGGCGGCUCUCUAGUACGGUACUGACGCUGAGACGCGAAAGCGUGGGGAGCGAACAGG